rnacentral:rRNA from 1 species
UACGUAGGAGGCAAGCGUUGUCCGGAGUUACUGGGCGUAAAGGGCCCGCAGGCGGUGGAGUAAGUUUGGAGUGACAGUUCCCAGCUUAACCGGGAAAGGACUUCGAAAACUGCUCGACUUGAGGACUGGAGAGGAAGGCGGAAUUCCGGGGUGGAGCGGUGAAAUGCGUAGAGAUCCGGAGGAACACCGACGGCGAAGGCAGCCUUCUGGAAAGUACCUGACGCUGAGGGGCGAAAGCUAGGGGAGCGAACGGG